CUCCAUGCUACUGCCCUACACCUCUGCUGGCUAGCUGGAUGCUUACAUGUCUCGAAAUGAAUGAGCAUCAAAUUCUACUACAGCUGGUCCAGAACUGUGGAGCCAGCAUAUUUACAUCGUGCUUCCCAGUGUGUGGGCUACAGAACCUUAACUCCUGGGGACACCCAGAUAGGGGGGUUAAAAGUAACUCUGAGGAAAUGUUACCAACUUGAAGAGAACCUCAGUGACACUCUGCCUCUCUGCCUGCUGACUUUUUCUCAUCAUCAGACACACCUUAUCCCACUGACGACACCUGUCAGAGGCACCUCUUUGCAUCCAAAUCUGCAAAGCUUAUUAUGAAGUAACUACCUGGAUGUUAAUGGAUCCCUUUGGGGUGUAAUACCAGAAUUUGCCAACACAGCACAUUCCUUAAAAAAAAAAAAGAAGAAGAAGAAGAAGAAGAAGAAGAAGAAGAAGAAGAAGGCAGUCUCAGGUCCUCGGGUUUCUGUGCAAGAUGGAAAGCAGAGGGGCGAGGUGAGACAGACCCUGGAGGCAGUGGAGUGCCCACCAGCCUGCCCACUGUGGGGACAGUGCUGCCAUGGGGGCUGCUGAGAAGACAGGAGAUGACACAAGAGAGCGUGUCAACAGUGUCACACAGAAUGGGGCUGUGAAGGCCAACUAGAUACUUAGCUGCUAUUAAAAACAAACAAACAAAACCUUUCCCAAGGGAUUUUGAAGAUAAACAAGUGAAGGAAUUUCACACACGUGCUAUGGGCUGAGAACAUCAAACUGCUGCUUAGAUCCAGGAAACCGUUUGCAUGUAGCAUCAGUGCUCUGGGGCUAAAUACAUCCCUGCACAUGGGGCACCAGGAGCUCCAGGUGCUGCCAAGGCCAUGAUGAGAAAUAGAUGAGGCAUUCAUGUGGCUCAGAAGCAAAAUUCAGCCAUGGAGCAGAUCAUUAAAGGGAUAAGGGCUCACGUGUACCAGGACAGAGCAUGAUGAGCACAGACAGAAGUUGAAAGCACAUGGAAAAAACCCUGUGGCUAUGAGCAAAGGUGAUACUUUGUGUGCUAGACCUUGUGGAGUGCUCAAGCAUAUAAUUGUUGUUAUUGUGUUUGGCAUUUGCUUGCCAGUUCACUACCAAUUAUUUUUGACUCUGGAAGAAGCUGAACUGUGCUGAAGGGGUGAAGCAGCAUGGCAGCCAGGUGAAGCAGGCAGCUCCUCACCUAGGUGUAAAGUGGGGCCCAUUCACACUGACGUGAUGGAGCUGUUCCCAUGUACAGUGGUCCCACUAAGAGAGGUGUUUGGCUCAGUUCUGCCUUCAGCACACUUUUGAAAUUAGUUCUGCCCAUGGCUGAGGAAUGAGGAUCCCAGUUACUGUGCCUGCUUACUCUACUACUGUCUUUGCCUACCAUUUGUGCAGUGGUAUAACCUGCAGCAACAGCUGAUGGCUUUUUCCUAGCAGUUUGGCAAAUCCUUUUUCAAGCAGUUGCCCAGGUGUUACUGUCUCACAUCUAUUUGUGCCAGCUGAACUUGACACAAUACUUCCCACUGCUUCUGUCAAGUAGUCCUGUGCUGCAUGAGCAUCUUGUCCCUCAGAUGUGCUCUUCUCAGAGUGAUCACAGAACCACAGAAUUGCAGGGGUUGGAAGAGAUCUCUGGAGGUCACUGAGUCCAACCCCCCGCUCCAGCAGUUCCCUACAGUAGGUUGCACAGGUAACCAUCCAGGCAGGUUUUGAGUACAUUCAGAGAAGGAGACUGUACAACUUCUCUGGGCAGCCUUGUGCCAGUGCUGUUAUUCUUCAAGAGAAGUUCUUCCUUGUGUUUGUAUAGAGCUUCCUGUGUUUGUGCCCAUUGCCCCUUCUCCUGUUGCUGGGCACCACCACAAAGAAUUGGGCACCACCAAAAAGAAUCUGGCCCCAUCCACUUCACUCCUGCUCUCUACAUAAUUAUAUGCAUUGAUAAGAUUCCCCCUUCAGCCUUCUCUUCUCUGGGCUGAACUGCCCCAGCUCUCUCAGCCUUUCCUCAUACGGGAGAUGCUCCAGGCCCCACAUCAUCUCUGUGGCCCUCCGUUGGACUCUCUCAGCAGUUCCCUGUCUUUCUUGGCCUGGGGAGCCCAGAACUGGACCCAGUACUCCAGACAUGGCCUCACUGGGGCAAAGCAGAGGGGUGGAAUCACUUCCCUUGCCACACUGGCCAAGCUCUUUCUAAUGCUGGGGAGCAUGGUGCUUUUUUCUCCUGUUGGUGGAUAGAGAACUCCUUGAUGGACCAACUGCUCUGCAGAUGUGAAACCCUGUAAACAAACAAGAUCAUGUAGGUCUCCUGUGCAUGUCAGGCAUCAGCAUUUUUCAUGCUCACCUUGCAUGCUUUCGAUGCUGAGUGCUGCCCGCUGUACCUUCAUUCUGGCAAGCUGGAACCACACCAUGGUGUCCGCGAUCGUGUCCCAGCACUGCCUGCUAUUGGAUCUCCUUUAAGAAGGAACUGUCUUUUUGUUUUCAACUGCUUUUGAAGCCUGCUGACCUCCACCCAUCUCGCAAGUGCUUGCAAGCGAGCAGCCAGGCACCAGGGACAUACAUACGUGUGGUGGUGAAUUUUCUGCCACUCUUGUGCUUGUAGUGAUUAGGUUUCACCUGUGGUACUGCUGCUGGUGGGCUGGGCUGCUAAUGGCUGCGUUUAGUCUUUUGUAGCACGAGUGUUGCUGCAACUGCAAAGCAACCAUUAACUACUGAUCUUUGAUAGAAGUCUAAAAUGCGAGGGCUGCUCUGAAAGUAACGCCUCUUAUUCUAUGACGUUGGCCCACGAUAUCAGAGGUGGACGUUGGUGGGAUGGCAGCAGAGGCUGAAUCUUCCCACCAACGUUCCGGACGCGCUGCCGUGUGGCAGACGGCGCCGAGGGGCGGUCUGACAAAACGGCGUCAGACAUGGAAGCGUGCCCGAAGCCCCAGGCCCGGCUCUGCCUUCCCCCACGCCCGCUGCCGGCGCUGCAGCCCCGGGGGCGGCUCCGCGCGGGGUUCUCUCUCUGGCAGCGGUUCCGUGAAGCGCUCCGCUCUGCGAGACCCGCUGAGCGCGGCUGCUCCUGAGCUCUGGGCGCCUUCCUGUACCGCACGCCGCCGAGACCUUCUGUUUUUGUCGCUCGGUUUCCCGUCGCUGACUUCAGCCCCGGCGCUCGCUCCAUUCCAUACCCACC
ensembl:lncRNA